UACGUAGGGUGCAAGCGUUAAUCGGAAUUACUGGGCGUAAAGCGUGCGCAGGCGGUGAUGUAAGACAGUUGUGAAAUCCCCGGGCUCAACCUGGGAACUGCAUUCGAGACUGCCUUGCUAGAGUAUGGGAGAGGGAAGUGGAAUUUCCGGUGUAGCGGUGAAAUGCGUAGAUAUCGGAAGGAACAUCAGUGGCGAAGGCGACUUCCUGGACCAAUACUGACACUCAGGUGCGAAAGCGUGGGGAGCAAACAGG
rnacentral:rRNA from 1 species